UGAUCCUGAUGUUAUAGGCGGAGGCGGAGGACGUGGGGGCGGCGGCGCGAGCAAGCCAGGCGAGAAGGCCGAAGGGGCGAUUGGGCGAAGACGCGAGGUGGUCAGGGGCGAUUUAGGGAGAGGGGAAACCACGAAAGAUAGGUCACGGGCACGGUCCGGUAGAGAGCGCACGGGCUCGACCAGAUCCGCCGCCACCCCUUCUGCGUGUGGCCAGGCCGUCCGCCGCCGCCGCCCCUUCCGGCCGACACCGCCUCUAGGAGAGGCGCCCGUGGCUCCCAGUGCUCGUCCGACCGUGCUCCUCCAGAUGGAGAAGAGGAGGCCGCCGCGGCCCCUGCGCUCGGUUGGCCUCCGCCUGUCUGCCGCUGCAAGGAAGAGAUAAGGCCACUGGCUGCGACCCUUGCGCUCGUCUGGCGCCUGCCCUCCGCCCGUCCGCCGCCACAAGGAGAGGCGGCUGCUGCCCCCCUGCGCUCGUCCGCCAGCCGCCACACCUCAAGUCCUCAAGCCGAAGCUCUCUUGCCGCUGUGCGUCCACCCUCCUCCGCCUGGAGCUUCAAGUCACUGCGCCACUGGAGAUGGGUGUGUUAAACAUCAGGAUGGACCAGAGGCUACUGCACUGUAGACAUUGCCACCGACGCCGACACCCACCCCUCCCGCCCGCCGACACUCACUGCUUUUUAUUGGACAGAAUCAUCCAUCAGAUGAGGUUCAAAUGCAACUUCUGCGACUCUGGAUACAUCCCCUACAGCAAGUUUCUGGUACACCUGUGCGACACUACUCCCGCCCAUCUCAUGUCCGUCUUUGCUAGGGGAGAGUGCAUCCUCGCCACAAGUGCCCUUGUGUGUUCUGAAUGCGGCCUUCCUCUCCGACCUCCCAUUUUCAGGGCGAGCUCAGCUCUGCCCUGCCCUGACUGAAUGAAUUUGGAUGCAGUUUGGUUUGGUUUUAUUUGAUUUUGGCUUCAUGCUAUCCUGCCGUUGUUGCAGUGUCUCCCUCGGAAAAUUCCUAUUUGUAGUGCCUGCUGCCAUAAUGGUGAUGUCACCAGCUACCGUCACAGUCGUGAGCUCGAACACCUCAUCCAAGGCAUCACGGUGAAAUGCAAGGCUUGCAAACAAUACCUUCCAUUCUCCACCUUUGCUUCGCACAAGCUGGUCAACUUGUGUGAUUCCAUUCUUAUGAAGCUAAGGAAGUAGUCCACUAUCAGAAAUUAUCGCCAAAGAGUUUAGCUAAAUCUGUUCUUGAGGAAGGUGGCUGGUCAAACUUGAUGUGUGCAAAGGAGGAUGCUCAGAAGAAUGUUGAUGU